rnacentral:lncRNA from 1 species
UCCUUUUCCUCUCCCUUCUUCCAUCCCUCCCUUCUCUCUAGAGCUUAAGUUCUGAUGGACAAAGAUAGACAAUGAACAAAUGAAGAGGGACUUGAAUCCACAAGCAGAUGUUAGACUUCAACACCAGGAAGAAACUAAGGGAAUGAACACAGAAACCUACAAUGAACGACACAAAAGACAUUCAGAGAGUGACUUAGGAGCACUUAGACCUCAGUGGGAUGCCUUCCUCAGACUCCUCCCCUCAGGGUUCAGGGAGCUCCGUGGAAGAGGACGAUCAGAGCCAGAGGGGACAGAUGUCUCAUGACUGGAAGGAAACAGUGUCCUCCAGACACAACAAGAUUGACGCACAUAUGAACUCAGACACUGUAGCAGCAUGCACAAUGCCUGUACAGGUUCAAGCCAGAUGGAUUCUGUUCCUGCGAGGAGGAAGUGGGCACAAGUUCCAUCCCUGACCAAGAAGUUAUCCAACCUCAAUCGAUAACUGCUUGCAAAGGAAAACUUAGAUGUUUCCAAUGGAGUUUCACUGGGAUUAUAAACCAACCACACUUCAGGGCAGGCCCCCUGCCCAUCAGUAGAUGGCUAAUACUAAAUGAAUCUAACGGUAUUUUUGUAGACUUUUGAUCUUACAAUGCUUUGUUUGAGUGUAUGUGUGUGUGUAUGUGUGUGUGUGUUACUGGUCUUUUACUAGUGUGUUAUGGUUUUUGAUUUUAUGGUUUUAUAUAUAUGUAUGUUUCUUGUGAUUUUUCUUUUAAAAUGUUAUUCUCUUCUCUUUUUUGCCUGUUUGUUUUUUAAACAAGAGAAAGAAAUCAUGUAGAUGGGUGGAUGGGGAGGCAGAGGGGAGCUGGGAGGAGCUGGCGGAG